UGCACUGUUUCCAUUGCUACUAUUUUUCAAGUCAAUCAAAUAAGGAUUCAUUAAUCAUUUAUUAUGUGUAAGAAGCCAAGGUCAUCCACUGCAUUUGAGCCAUCACCAGUUGCCUUGACUUUUUCUUGCCACUGGACUUCUAUGGCUCUGGAGGAGAGAGUGAGGGCUCUAACUUUGUCCAACUCUGCCUCAAUUAAACCCAGUUUAUGCUCUAGUCAAAAGACAUCACUGGUGAUGCCAUUUUGGUCCUCUUUGAGUACAACUAACCAACCUACCAGUCAUGUGCAAGGACCAGUAACAUCCUAUGAGACCAGAAGAAGCCAGAUUCAAGGUUGCCUCAGUCAAUCUCUACCCUGUUCUAAAGAAGUGGUGAGCACACUUGCUAACUCUCCUCAAACCUUAGGGGUUAGAGUUCUGAAGAAUUCUGGUGAGUUCAGUACAGUGGAGCCCAAAGAAAUAGAGCACCCUUGAAUGAGAUGUUAAAUUUAUUUGUGGUUGGAU
rnacentral:lncRNA from 1 species